AGCAGUAGCCGCGGGAAUACGAAGGGGGCUAGCGUUGCUCGGAAUCACUGGGCGUAAAGGGUGCGUAGGCGGUUUGAUAAGUCUUGUGUGAAAUCUAUGGGCUCUACCCAUAGUCUGCACAGGAAACUGUCGGGCUUGAGAGUGGGAGAGGUGAGUGGAAUUUCCGGUGUAGCGGUGGAAUGCGUAGAUAUCGGAAGGAACACCUGUGGCGAAAGCGGCUCACUGGACCAUUUCUGACGCUGAUGCACGAAAGCUAGGGGAGCAAACAGGAUUAGAUACCCCCGUAGUCCCUGUCUCUUAUAC
rnacentral:rRNA from 1 species